AGAGUGAACGCUGGCGGCAGGCCUAACACAUGCAAGUCGAACGGCAGCGCAGCCCCGCAAGGGGUGGGCGGCGAGUGGCGGACGGGUGAGGAAUACAUCGGAAUCUACCCUGUCGUGGGGGAUAACGUAGGGAAACUUACGCUAAUACCGCAUACGACCCACGGGUGAAAGCGGCGGACCGCAAGGCGUCGCGCGACUGGAUGAGCCGAUGUCCGAUUAGCUAGUUGGCGGGUAAAGCCCACCAAGGCGACGAUCGGUAGCUGGUCUGAGAGGAUGAUCAGCCACACUGGAACUGAGACACGGUCCGGACUCCGUACGGGAGGCAGCGAGGUGGGGAAUACGUUGGACAAGUGGGACGACAAGCCUAGGACUCCAGCCAUCGCCGCGUGUGUAGAAGAACGGUCCUUGGGUUAGUAAAGCUACGUUUUGACCGG
rnacentral:rRNA from 1 species